rnacentral:rRNA from 1 species
GACGAACGCUGGCGGCGUGCUUAACACAUGCAAGUCGAACGGAAAGGCCCUGCUUUUGUGGGGUUCUCGAGUGGCGAACGGGUGAGUAACACGUGAGUAACCUGCCCUUGACUUUGGGAUAACUUCAGGAAACUGGGGCUAAUACCGGAUAGGAUCUCCUGCUGCAUGGUUGGGGUUGGAAAGUUUCGGCGGUUGGGGAUGGACUCGCGGCUUAUCAGCUUGUUGGUGGGGUAGUGGCUUACCAAGGCUUUGACGGGUAUCCGGCCUGAGAGGGUGACCGGCCAAAAUGGGAAUGAGAUACGGACCAGAAUACUACGGGAGGAAGGAGUGGGGAAUAGUGCACAAUGGGAGGAAGCCUGAUGCAGCAAAGCCGCGUGCGGGAUGAAGGCCUACGGGUUGUAAACCGAUUUAGCCUGAGACGAAGCGUGAGUGACGGUAAUGGGUAAAGAAGCACCGGCUAACUACGUG